UCUCCGUAGGUGAACCUGCGGAGGGAUCACUACAGGCUUGCAAAAGCUCUGAAACCACUGUUUAUCUACCUGAAUCUGCUUCGGCGGGCGGCCCCAGGGCGGGGCCGUAGCCGCAAGGUGCCCGCCGAAGACCCCUAAACUCUGUCGUCCUGAGAAUCUCUGAGUAAUUAUAUUAAACAAAAAACAACUUUCAACAACGGAUCUCUUGGCUCUG
rnacentral:misc_RNA from 1 species